ensembl:lncRNA novel transcript
AUAGUCAGCUAACUCCCCGGGACCUGCUUCGGAUCCCUGGAGGGCUGAGGAUUGAAUUCAGGAGCCUAGGGAUUCUCCGGGUCCUGCAGGCAGAGCUCCAACUGGUGGGUGAAAGUUACAAGGAGGCAGGUUUCUGAAGGAAGCCCUGUGUAAUAAUCAGAGCUGCCCAGCCUGUAUCUAAAAGUGGUCAAGAUGCGGGCUGAAGCGUCACGGGUCAGGAAUGCUGCACAGGAGAGUCUACGGACAGGCUAGAUGACCCUUAGCAUGGAGGGAGAGGACCCCCGACAUCUGUCAGCUCUGCAGUGCUCGUGGUUCCGUCAUGGUGGAGCUGCCGAGUGACCCGCUGGCCUCCCUGAGCUGGGCUUGACCAUAUGUACGAAGGAAAGAAAAGGCAUCCCAUGGAUGUCUCCUAGUUCCCUCACUGUGGCCCAGUGUUGUAUAUCAACGUCAUCAUGGAUACACCUCCUGUGGGAGGUGAUUAGGCCAUGAGGGUGGAGCCCUCGUGAAUGGAAUUGGUGCCCUUAUAGAAGGGACCCUGGACCCUGGACCUCCACUCUGCAAGGAUACAGUGAGAAGGCAGAACCCAGCCUCAGGUACACUCAUCUCAGACUUGCAGCCUCCUGAACUGUGAGAAAUAAAUGUUUGUUGUCUGUGGUA